CAAGAGCGUAUGUAAAAGUUGUUGCAGUUAAAAAGCUCGUAGUUGAACCUUGGGUUUGGUUGGCCGGUCCGCUUUUUUGCGAGUACUGGAUUCAACCGAGCCUUUCCUUCUGGCUAACCAGUCGUUUCGGCGGCUGGCGAACCAGGAUUUUACUUUGAGAAAAUUAGAGUGUUCAAAGCAGGCAUUAGCUUGAAUAUAUUAGCAUGGAAUAAUAGAAUAGGACGUUAUGGUUCUAUUUUGUUGGUUUCUAGGACCAUCGUAAUGAUUAAUAGGGACGGUCGGGGGCAUCAGUAUUCAGUUGUCAGAGGUGAAAUUCUUGGAUUUACUGAAGACUAACUACUGCGAAAGCAUUUGCCAAGGACGUUUUCAUUAA
rnacentral:rRNA from 1 species